rnacentral:rRNA from 1 species
AGAGUUUGAUCAUGGCUCAGAUUGAACGCUGGCGGUAUGCUUAACACAUGCAAGUCGAACGGUAACAUGGGAGCUUGCUCCCGAUGACGAGUGGCGGACGGGUGCGUAACGCGUAGGAAUCUGCCUAUUAGUGGGGGACAACAUGGGGAAACUCAUGCUAAUACCGCAUACGCCCUACGGGGGAAAGCAGGGGAUCUUCGGACCUUGCGCUAAUAGAUGAGCCUGCGUUAGAUUAGCUAGUUGGUGAGGUAAAGGCUCACCAAGGCGACGAUCUAUAGCUGGUCUGAGAGGACGAUCAGCCACACUGGGACUGAGACACGGCCCAGACUCCUACGGGAGGCAGCAGUGGGGAAUAUUGGACAAUGGGCGCAAGCCUGAUCCAGCAAUACCGCGUGUGUGAAGAAGGCCUGAGGGUUGUAAAGCACUUUCAAUUGGGAGGAAAACAGGCAGGUUAAUAUCCUGUCUCUUGACAUUACCUUUAGAAGAAGCACCGGCUAACUCCGUGCCAGCAGCCGC